CCUACGGGCGGCAGCAGUGAGGAAUAUUGGUCAAUGGGCGCGAGCCUGAACCAGCCAAGUAGCGUGAAGGAUGACUGCCCUACGGGUUGUAAACUUCUUUUAUCAAGGAAUAAAGUGAGGCACGUGUGCCUUUUUGUAUGUCCUUUAUGAAUAAGGAUCGGCUAACUCCGUGCCAGCAGCCGCGGUAAUACGGAGGAUCCGAGCGUUAUCCGGAUUUAUUGGGUUUAAAGGUAGCGUAGAUGGGUUGUUGAGUAAGUUGUGAAAGUUUGCGGUUCAACCGGAAAAUUGCAAUUGAUACUGGCAGCCUUGAGUACAGUUGAGGUAGGCGGAAUUCGUGGUGUAGCGGUGAAAUGCGUAGAUAUUAGGAGGAACACCAGUUGCGAAGGCGGCUCUCUGGACUGUAACUGACACUGAGGCACGAAAGCGUGGGGAGCAAACAGGAUUAGAUACCCCAGUGGUC
rnacentral:rRNA from 1 species